GGCUUUGAGGAGCAGGGUGCUAGGGAGGGCCAGGGAAGCUGGACCCGAGGGGCACAGCCUGGGCAAGGAGGUGGUGCGUCCUCCCCUCACAGCCACCCGUCUUCUGCCCCAUUGUCCCCUCCAGCCUCGCUUGCCCUAACCUCUGGGUGGCCCCUCUCAAUCUACCACUUUCUCUUCUUAUCUUUCUCUACUUUGCAGAAGCUUUCAACAAAGCCGGCCACUUCCUCCUCCGUAGCCGCCUCUCCUCUUAGUGACAGGGCUGUCUCUCCCCGCCUCUCUCUCUCUCACCGACUUCAUGGCCCCUUUGCAGAUUGUCCCCUCCCGUCCUGGUGGGCUCCUCCACCCCUGGCUCUGAUGACUUCUGGUCACACACUUCUCUAAGGCCAGGUACGAUCUUCGGUUGCGGACUUGAAUAUCUCAAGUAGCUCAAACCCAGUACUUAACAGUCCCAGCCCAGUGCUUUCUCUCCCCGGUUCUUCCUGUUUCUGUACAUGUCACUGUCACCACUCAGCCAGGGGCUCAAGCUGGAAUCCUGGGAGUUGCCUUGCCUACUCGCCCAUCUCUCCUCCUCCUCUUUGAGCAGGAAGUGUGACCAUUGGUCCUGAGGGUGGAUCCCAAGCCCCAGGUCUGCCCUCCCUCUGCUGGACAUGCACAGAGACGUGACUGGUCUCCUUGCUUUUACCUGCCCUCUGUUCUCCGCACAGCAGAGAGAUGACCUUAAGAACAAAGUCACAGAUACGUAAAUGCUUUCUGACCUGGCAUUUGCCCACCUUGAAUGGCAUCUUGGCUUACUUUGUAGACCUGGUGGGGUGUGUCGGGCUCUGCCCCUGCAGACCGUGGGCCCAUCUCUUCCACUCUGAGCACAUGGAGACCUUUCCCACCCCAGGCAAGAGUGAGAUCUACAGUUCCCUUGGCCCUCCCUGACUGGCCCUCCUCCUGGACAACCUGUCCAAGGGCAGCAGAGGCCCCCCUGACCUCCCUUGGUGACUCGCUCAGCUCUGCCACCGGCUGUCAUUUCUCCCUAGCUUGCAUCACCACUCACCCUCAGCCCGCUCAUUUAUUCUGCGUCACCAGAUUGGAAGCUCCCUGCGGACAGGCUCCUGGGUGGUCAUUCCUGAUGGAUUAGCAGUUUCCAGCAAAGAAUGCUCAGGGCAGGUGCUGGCCUGGGCUGGUAUUGCAGAGGCCCUGAGGGCUGGGGGCCUGAGAGAAGGGUUUGCAUGAAGGUCCUGGUGACCAGGUGUGGCCUGCCCAGUGGGGCGGAGAGUUGUGAAAUCUGUGUGAGGAACCCUAGACAGGCCUGUGUCACACAGUUUGAGGGGCCUGUGAGCUAGGCCUGCCUGUCAGUCUCAGAAAGUGAGGGGUGUAGAUGAAGCUGGAGACCCGUGGUGGAGGGGAGUCCUGUCCUCUUCUACCUGAUCACCUACCUCACUCCAGAGCAGCCCAGAGGCCAGGCGUCAGCUGAAAUCUGGGCCUCCUGUGAAUGUGCCUUCUCCUGUGGCCUCCCCUCCCUCCUCUUCCCCACCCUGCCUCCUGUCACAAGUCUACAGGGUGGAGACCUGACCAUGGCCCCAAGUCCUACCCACCCCAUGGCCCCCUGCUGGCCCCCUGCUGGUCCACAGUCAGCCUUCUGGCCUCUCUUCCCCAGUCGGGGCUGCACAGAGCAGCGAGGCCUGGGGCCGUGGGAGGAGGAGGCCACACAGCCCCAGAGGCAGAGUUCCAGGGUCCUGGGCACCUGGUGUGGUGGAGGAAGGGGAGCCUGGGCUUUAGGAGCCAUGUUCCUCUGGACUCCCCUGUUCCCUGGGGAGGGGUGUGGCUAGAAUGGGGCCCUCUUGACAAUGGCCCAGGUGGCCUGGGACUGAAGGCCUUGGACUUGACUGAGGAAGAGGCUCCUAGGCAGCAAGUGGACUGGAGGUCUAGAGCUCGGGGUGUGGUCUGAGAAGUCAGCGGGGGCUGAGGCUGGAGAAGUGGACAGGGUAGCCUGAGAGAAGAGGACCAUGGGGGUGGCUCCCCUCUAGCCUUGGUGCCCAGGACCUGCGUGGGGAACAGAUGAGGCAAGAGGUGGCUCCUGUGCUCAGAGGUGCUGAGUUCAGACCCCGGCUUUGUGACUUCCCAUCUGAGCUGGUGUGACCUCUCGGAGCCCGUCUCCAGCUCUGUAGAGUGGGCACAGUAAAGCAUCAUAAAGCAGGUGGGAGAACCCAGCAAGGAGAGUUGGCGACACUUUGUAACGACAAGGCUUGUAUCAGGUGUCAUUAUGAGACAUAGCCGUGCAGAAAUGGAGAUGUCAUGUUAAAA
rnacentral:lncRNA from 1 species